CAUUGAUGAUGUCCAGAAGGGUCGGAUCGGGUCGUCCACCAGCGUUGCGCUUGUGGAUCAGAAUGACAACCUCGUUGCUAUCUUGAACGACCUAAUUGUAUCUUCAUAGCUAUUGCAGAGUUUCUUGCUCAAGUUGUGCUGACGUGUAAAACUGAUAAUUCUACAGUCAUGCAAUAAUUUCGAUUUAGUUGGUGAUUUCAUAUGAUAUGCUGCUUGAAUAAUUUCCGGAAUUGGUGUUUCGAGAGUGUAAUAUUCCAAGGUUUAAUCCUCUGGUUGGAUAAGAUGGUGGAGCUUGCAAUUCUUAUUCAAAUGAUUAUUUCCAAGGGCAAGGUCCCACAUUUGUAAAAUGAAAAAAGAUAAAUGAUUGGAGAUUUA